rnacentral:misc_RNA from 1 species
GAUGAAGAACGCAGCGAAAUGCGAUAAGUAGUGUGAAUUGCAGAAUUCAGUGAAUCAUCGAGUCUUUGAACGCACAUUGCGCCCCCUGGUAUUCCGGGGGGCAUGCCUGUCCGAGCGUCAUUACUGCCCUCAAGCCCGGCUUGUGUGUUGGGUCUCGUCCCCCUUCCCGGGGGGACGGGCCCGAAAGGCAGCGGCGGCACCGCGUCCGGUCCUCGAGCGUAUGGGGCUUUGUCACCCGCUCUGUAGGCCCAGCCGGCGCUUGCCGAUCAACCAAAACUUUUUUCCAGGUUGACCUCGGAUCAGGUAGGGAUACCCGCUGAACUUAAGCAUAUCAAUAAGCGGAGGA